ACAACAAUGUGAAGGUAAUACCAGAAAUAAAACAUAAAGAAGACAGAGUCAGUGAUGAUAGAAUUAUAUAUAGACCAUACAUUCAGUUCAGAUGUUCAUUUGAGAUGACUGACAAUACAGAAUACAAAGUGACAUGGUAUAUCAAUGGAACACUAUGGAGUGAGACAGGAUUUUCAUCUAAUCCGGAUGACCUUGUAUUAAGCGGAGAUUCUUUAAAUCAAUUACGACGCGGAUAUGAGUUGAAAUGCGGUGUCAUUGCAGAUGGGACAAUAGAUGAAAAAUUGAGCAAUACCUUUUUCGCAGGUUGGAAG